CAAAGCAUCAUUGCGGUAGGAAACAUCCAAUCAAAGGCUAACAUCAUGUCACGUGCACCGCUAAUGCGCCGAAGGUCGGAGCCGCAGUUGGGGCUGAAAAUAAAACUCUACGAGCUCUAAACAUAGAGUUGUAGCAACAUCUGCCGAAGACACUGAACUCCACAUCAACAGCAAAGUGCAGUGUUGCAGAGUCUGGCAGUGAGAAUGCGAUGGAGCCAUCUGUAUCUCCAAAAGAAGAUGAGGUACAAUAUUUGCCCUGUUUACAAU